UGGUGGAAAGGAUUGAGUGUAAGAACACAAUUUCUCUGAAUCCAAGACUACACCCAGCACAGUAGCAUUGUCAGUAAUUCAACAACUAGACAAGAAAUCAUGAGGAGAUAUUGGGGAGCUCUGCUGGGGCUCCUAUGGCUCCAGGUUUGCUGGGUGAGAGUGAUGACGGUGGAGCAGAGCCCUUCACACCAGAGCCUCCAGGAGGGAGCCAGCUCUACUCUCAAGUGCAAUUUCUCUAAUGCAGUGAACAAUGUGCAGUGGUUCCGACAGAACCCCGGGGGCGGCAGUCUCACCCGGCUGUUUUACAUAGUUUCAGGGAUGAAGCAGAGUGGAAGGUUAAACUGCACAGUGAAUACUAAGGAUCGGUCCAGCACCCUCCACAUCGGGGCCUCCCAACUGGAAGACUCAGCCACCUACCUGUGUGCAGUGGAGGCACAGUGCAUCUUGGUGAUCUGCAGCCUGCACCCAAACUGCAGCUGUGCCUAAAGCCCUUUGCAGGUAAAAACCUCUACCAUGGAGUCACUGGAGCAAGUGAUAGAAAUGCCCAUAUCCAGUACCCUGGGAAAACAGAUGUCCUAGCAGCUAGCAUAUAAAGUAUCUGUAAGUAGUCAAAUGGAAAAUGCUCAAAAAACUCAGUGGUCAUCAGCAAACAAAGAGAUGACUAAGUUUUUUAGUUAUCUGUGGGUGGUUCUUUUUCAAAGAAAUGUAAAGAGAAU